CUUCAGUUUGUUCUGCUCUCAUCAGCGGGAGUGAGUGAGACGGGGCUGUGCUUCUGCGGCCUCGGCACUGCUGGGAGAGAGGAGCAACGCGAAGGGCUGCUAAAACCAGGUGUUCUCCUACUGGAGCUGCAGCAGAGCCUCUCUUCAUCCCAAACCAGCGAGGUUGUGGAAGUGUUGAGAGUUUAGGAGUCAGUAGGCGAGCUCUCUCCCCUUGGGACUUGGGUAGGGUUGCUGCUGAGCUAUCUCUGUUUCUUUGGGAUCAGCACGGUGCUGCUCUUGGAGGCCAAGGGAGACCUCUGGGUGGCCUCAGCCCCCCAAAAGGGUUUGUAGGUCCUUCAGCUCCUGCCUCCAGCAGCGGGAGCGAGCAGCAGGAUGGGACUGGGUGUUUCCACCUUCCUUAUGUGCAUGACCUCAUUCCCAUCGUGGUGGGUGAACUUGUAUGCCUGGAAUGCUGUUUGUUACGGAUUGCAUGUUUUUUUUCCAGAAGGACAAUCCAGCAGGGUGAUGGAGUUGCUUUUCAGGUGAGAGAGCUGGAAAGGAUUGAGCCCUGCCUAGGGAUGAAUGAACAACUAGAGGAGUGCUUGUGAGGUAGGUAAAGGUGAGUAACAUCCUUGGGGGUGUUGGUUACAGACCAGGGUGAGGAAGAGGAUAAGACCUUCUGCGCACAGCUGUGGGCAUUAGUUGUUCUCAGGGUAGGCUGAACCACCCUAUCAGCUGUUGGGGAAGCAAGGCUGCCAGGCUUGGUUAUUCCAGGAGGUUCUUGCAAUGUGUCAAAGGUAAAACUUAGGACACAAGCGACGGAGGAGCUUGCUCUCCCUACAGAGGGAGGCUCAGCUGGGGGUGGCUGCUCUGAGAUGGUGCAGUUCAGGAUCUGGUGUGGAAGAAGCAAAGCAGUAAGUAGGGUUGAGAUAUUGGAUUUUCAGGAAGCCUGGUUUGUCCUCUGAAAGGAUCUACUUGGAGGUAUCCGUGCAGUUGGAACGUCAGAAGAGGUCCUGUGGGCGGUUGUUAUUUCAAGCAAUUUAUUUGCGCUCAGGAGGGGCGCUCUUAGGAGAGUAAGAAAAGGAGCAAAAUAGCAGGGGAGCUUCAUGGGAAAAUGGGGCUUGCAGAAGAACUUGAAAGCGAGAAGGAAGAGAUUAGGAUGAGGAAGGCUAAAGCCUACUUAGUUUCUUCUUUGGGGGGGGGAAGAUCAAGGAUAACAGAAGUUAGCAAGUUUGUGAACAGCAAGGAGGAGAGUAGGGUGGGUCCUCUGCCUCAUCAGGCAGGGGCUGGAAUGCCUUCUUUGUUGCAGCUGUGACUGCUGAGGAUGCUCCUUGACGAUCCUGGAUCCCAGAGGAAAGCGUCUUUGAGGAAGGAUGCCUUCCUGAUUGCAGAGGAGGCGGCAAAGAUCACGUGGACAAAAUUGGUGCCCCCCAGGUCCUAGUGGGACGUGCCUGUGUGUGGCGAAGGAGCUGGCAGAAGUGAGCACCAGCUGGCUCUGUGUCACAUUCUUUAUGAUGUUUUCUAUAGGAAAGUUGUGUGAGGACGGGAGGAUAGCCAGCAUCACGGCAGCCUUCAAAAAGGGUGUCAUUUCCAAGGAACUUGAAGAGUUUGCUAGGAAGCAGUCAAGGUGGCAUCACUGAGGGGAAAUUGUGCUGCUCCAACCUGGGAGCGUCAGGUCAGAAGAGCAGGGGAUGCUGCAAACCUGACUUCGGUGUUUCUGUUGGCGUUUUUGUAAUGAACUUAACAAGUGUGAGAUGGUGACCUGGAUGAAGGGAGAGUCUCUAAUGUCGGUGAGUGAGCGGAUGAUGCGAAGCUGGGAGGAGCAGUGACAUUCAGCGGGACCCCAUAAACUGUGGAGAGCAGGCAUGGGGUUGUGCAACUGGAGAGGAAUAACAGCAUGUACUGUUACCAGUUAGGAACUGGUCUGCUGGAAGGGUGACUGGAGGAGAAGGACUCUUUGGUCAGCUGUGAGCCAGUGGCCCCAGAAAGCCAAGGCUGUCCUGGGGUGUGAUGGAGUUCUGCCCUGGUGAGGCUGUGUGGAGUAUUUGACUCUGCAGGUCAAGCAGAGGGGAAAGCUGUACAUGGGGUCUAAUGGAGGGCAAUGAUGAGGGGCCUGGAGCAUCUCCCUGUGGAGGACUGGAUGAGGACCUACAGCUGUUUGAUGAAGAGAAGGUGAGUGGAAUCUCCUUUUUGUUAGUAAAUAUCUUAAAUGUAGGAGUGUAGCAAUAUGAUGGGGUGACAUUUGUGGUUGUGAAUGCCAGAAGUUCUGCAUAAACAGAAGGAGUGAUUUGUUGGAGAGUGAUGGUAUAGGCUAACUGGAGAGUUUGGAAAUGGUCAUGUUGAGUGCGGUUGCCUUCCUGGGUGAUGUGGUAUAGGGAAGCUGCUUUAGCAAGGGAGCCUUUCCAAUCCUCUGUGGUUCUGUGACUGUCAUUUGGUUUCAGGAUGGAGGCUGCAAAGGAGUGUUUUUUUUGGCAAGGAUCUGCCUGAACAUGAGUGGUGGAAUGGAGGAGGUAAGAGCCCUCAGCUGUGUUGUGUAGGUGUGGAGGCUCCUUUGUCAGAGGUUUGGUGCUGGAACAAGGAUUGCUGUGUGACUGCCUCUACAGAGGAAGGUGUUUUUCCAGUGGAGUGGAAUUGAUGGAGCUUCACUUGGGCUGUAGCAGAAGAAUUGGAGCUGACUUAACAGUGUGUGCCCCAAAAAUAGUGGGAAUGAAGUUUGCUUCCAUAGUGUGAGAAGCAGGUUGUCUACUUCAGCACUAUGGUGUGUCAGACUUGCUUGACUCACCAAAUGAAACCAGUACUUUUCCAGUGUUUGCAUUGUUGCAGCGGAAUUCCUGGAGAGAAGCGUUGCUUGAGUUUGGUAGGGCUUCUCGAGUGUGAAGGUAGGUGUGCUGUCCUGAGAGCUGAGCGGCGUUGACUCUUGCAAAAAGAUGGUUUCCUUUUUUCAGAUAGGUAAGUCAAACCACUCUCAGCAAACCAAUGGAGAAACCAGAGACUAGUGCAUCUCUCCGGUACCCUUUGGGUCAAGUUAGGAAUCAGAAAGCAGCCUGGGUUGGAAGGAACCUGUGUCUCCAAGCUCUGCAUUGCUCUGCCUCAACUUCAGUUGCAUCUCUAUUCAAAGAAACAAUUUCUACACUAGGAGGAACUUAGCUGUGACACCUGGGCACAAAUUACACCUUUGGAGACAAACUUCAAGAUUUGCAAACUUCAAGAUUUGUUUCCUAUAGGUACAGGCCUGAAUCAAACACCCCUUCUGCAUCACGUUGCAGCCUGCUUCCCAAGGUUUCCAGAUGACUCAAACAUUUUUAUCUUCAUUUUUACUGCAGAGUCAGCAGUUAGUUAAUACAUGAACUGAAAUAAAACAAAAAACAACCACUGACAAGAGGGGAAGGUAGAAAACACUCUUGCUGUGAAACAGGCUCCAGGCACAGAGUGGUUCCCUCUGCUUGCUCCAGUUACAGCUCAGAGGCUCAUUCCUCAGAAGCAAAAUCUUAUAAGUAAACAUGGAGCUGAGCCUCUCUCUGCCCUUUAUUCCCUCCCAUGAAGCCUAUUUUUUUUUUAUCCCAUUCAACUCAAAGGCACCCUCAGAACAGUGGACUAAAUCUCUGCCUGUAAUAAAAUAAAUCUAAUUCUGGUCACAUUAAAAUACAUCACAGACCUUCAAAGGAAUAGUACUAGGCUGCCUAAUGAAAAAUAGAGUGCUUCAAGUGAGAUAAACCAACAUUCUGACCGUAAGCAAGAACAAACUGGGAUCUGGUGUCACAGGAUAUUCCUUCUCUCUGGGUUUUUGCAUAUUAACCAGCAGACAGAUUUGUGGAAGAUGACUUAUUGCUCUCAGUUUUACCACAAGGAAAAUACAUAAUGUUUCUAGCUGAUCGGUAACAUGAAGUUCAACUCUGUCCCAGUACGUUCAUGCAUGGCCUAACAAGUGAAAUUACUUAAAAGAGAGCCCUCGUGUCAAAAAAGGCUUUACAAAAAUGACUCAGGGAUUUUUCAGCUACUUGCCCUUACUGAGUGCAGAGCCCUCUGUCCCUCUAAGCUUUAGCAGCUCUGUAUGACUAUUAUUGAAUGGGAACCUCCAUUAUCUCAGUGCUGACUGAGGUACCAAUGCCCAUUGGGGUGACUGAGGGAAAGGGCAGUGAGUGUUUGCUUUGGCUGCUUAGCCAAGCUAGACUUAUGUUAUGCAUCCUGAUUUAAAUGUAAUGUGGAGAUGUAACAUGGAUGCCCCAUCCCUGGAGGCAUUCAAGGCCAGGCUGGAUGUGGCUCUGGGCAGUGUGGUCUGGUGGUUGGUGACCCUAUGCAGAGCAGGGGGGUUGGAACUAGAUGAGCAUUGUGGUCCUUUGCAACCCAGACCAUUCUAUGACAAGUGAAUCAAACAGACUUUUAACAGAGGAAAAUAAAAAAGAGGAAACCAUAGAUGUCACGUACAAACAUCUGAGAAAUAUCUCAGAAUUGACAAAAACAAAAAAAAUAAUCUGAGCAAAAGUUAACAUUUGCUCCUUUUUAUUUUGAGCAAUGUUAAAUACAGUUUCCCUGCACUUUGCAGUGUCAGCUAACAGCCUGCUAUAUCCUUAGCUCAGCCAUAGCUGGAAGGAUCAGUCCCUUUACAGACACCCACACAGUCCAUCUUUCCCUGCCCCAUUGGCCACCAGUUCACACACACAAGGAAUCAUCCAGUAGGUACAAUGACCAGUCACCACUGCAGCUGUUGCUGUGCCUUUGAAGGAAACACAAAGUUACUGCUUGUCUUUCUUCCCCUCCUCCUUUCUGAAGGCUUCUAGGCUGUAAGCGUGCAGGAGAAAACUGGAACUGCUUAGGCCUCCCCUGCAACAGUUUGGUUUCUGAACAAAGUUAUGAAACUAAGAGAAGAUACGGGCUUCUUCAUCAACUUUUUUAAAACACCAAAGAAAAAUCAUGUUUAAAGGUGAUGCUAUUAGCCGAAGACAACAGAAAAAGGAUGGCAACUUUCCCUAUAGAGAGCUCAAGAUGUGUGUGUCGUCAAUGCUUCCGGGACCCCUCCUGGGCUUCAGCAAGCACGCAGGCCAUGGCUAACAUUUCCAACCCUGAAACCCAGCCCUCCAAGAAAAGAGUAAAUCAAAAUACAUAACGUAGGGUGAUGCAGGGCUACUUCUUUCAUUUCAUCUUCACAGCACAGAGCUCUCUCUGCAAGACAGAUACGCAAGUGUAUUAAGCCCACUGACACCUCUCCAAAAGCUUAUUUGCUGGCUAAUUAGACAGUUGAAAAGAUCAACAGGUCGAUGGAAUUGAGAUAACGCUAUCCAAUGCAAUUACUACAAUUGCAAUAUUUUAGGAAUUGAAGCACAACUCCAUUCGACCUAUGCCAAAAAGUCUAUACACAGAAGUCCGCACUUAGGUGGUUAUUUUUCUCUAUCGGUUCAUAAUUGCCUUCUGUUUUUAAUCACAGCUUCUUUCUCCAACUGUUGCAAAGAUGGCACUGUUGUUUUUUCCUGCGUAGCCUGAAGUCCCCAGUGGCUACAGUCCACUUCUCUCCACCGCUGACGUUUAAGGUGCUGACAGCCCCCAAGCGCCCGAGGGAUCCUGCUAUCUUCAGCAAGGUCUCAUUUCAUUUAAUUUCAUAUUUAAAGCUUCCGUGACCUUUUUGAACAUGUAAAUGAUAAAAAUACUUUCACACACAGAUGUAUCGAGCGCCACAUCCACCUAGGCUUGUUAAUAAACCUCGUUGCUCUGUUUCUGCUGGCCCGUGGCUAUAUUAGCUGUCUGCUCGCCUUAUUUGUGAGAUAUAAAUAGCCAGGGACUGCACACUCGCUGUCUAGUUACAUUGAGAUAACGGUGAUUUUAAUACUCUUAAACAAGCCUGUCUCCUGACGUGGGUCUGUCCAGAAUGCUCACUCUUACCUAUCUUCCUUCUUCGUGUUUGAGUGGGAGAUUCGUAAGCAAAAUCUCUCAGCCACCAAACAUGCCAAUAGAAAACAAAAGGGCCACUGAAGGGCGUUUUUGCACUGUUCACACGCUGCUGUUGGAAAGAAAUUCUCCAUACCAUUUCUUAUGUUUGGGCUCAAUAACAUUUCAUACCCGUACCGCACAGUGGUUCUGACCCAGUCACGCUGCAUUGGCUGAAUCAGAAAGUCCCAGACUCAUCUCAGGGCUAUGCUGUAUCAUUCUUACUGCAAAUUGAAGAUAGCUGGUACCCCUUCCCAAAAGGCCUCGAGCCUCAGCACAGUAAUGCCUUACAGUGAAGUAAAGCAGAGAGAGGCAGAGAACUACACUCAGUAAGGGAUUGAACUAACAACAGAAUUUAAACAGGAUUUAGGUGAGGAUUGGCAUCUAAAUACACAGUUGUGAGCUAAAGACCCUUGGCUCUCAGGGCACCUCCUUCUGUGACCGAAAAGGUCUCUAGGGCCGCUGUGAGGGUACAGAGGGAGAACUGCAUCCUGGCUUCCCAGCGUCUAUUUUUCUGCUGAACUAAGUGCACGUGCCCUGUAAGGCACGCCCAGAGCACGCUGGACACCCUGCCUUAGCCCCGGGUCGCGCCACUUGUUCGGGUAUCGUUUGGGUAACCGAUCUUUCAGUGCUAAAUGCCGACUACAGCAUCCUCAGAGAGAAGCUCUCUCUCUUGGAGAAGCUGAUAGCCCUAAGCACAGCAUUACAGAGCGCUGAGAGUCCCCCACAGGAACAUGCUGCCCCUGGAGGACGGCUAGUCUAGUUAGGACCUAAUGCAAACCAUGGGAGUACAGGUAUCUGUGGAAUAACAUACCAGUUUGACUGCGUACAAAAUGAGAUACAAUGAGUAAGUUCAUCAAGGACAUUAUCACCUCUGGAGAAGUCAUUUACAAUAGCUGCGAUGAGUAACAUCUCACUCCAUGACUGUUGACUUCCAUCUUCCCCUAUAGUUACAUGGAUUACCCUGGAAGCAAUGCCUCCUCUUUAUUUCUACAGAAACUACAGUGAAUAAAAAGAGCACAAGAACGCUAUUUGAUAGUGUUUUGAGGCUGAGAACUUGCUCUGCUUUUCAACAUAGUCACCGCUGCUAGCUAUAGACUUUGUCGCAUGGCUAUAUCUAAGUAUGCACGCAUUAUUACGUACUUGUGAAAACUUUUCCACAUAGCUGUGCUGUAAUUUGCAUCCACAUCUUACACUUACAUCCGUAAGAGGACUUCUGCCGGGCACGGGUGAGCACCGUUGGACUAUACAAUGCUUGAUAGCUGGGGGCAACAGUGCAGUGGCAACAACAGAGAAGUGAGGUGCAGCAGCAGGGGAUGCAGAAAAGAAAGAAACUCCUUACCUUUACAAGACCUGUAAAAUCCUCAAGGGUGCAGAGAGCUCUAGAAGACACUCUUUCUCCUCCCCCUGCUGGCCCUUAAAUGAGGUCUGGGAAGGGGUGGAUCCUGGCUCCACCCCUUCUAAUUGGCUGCAUUGCGUUCACCUGGGUUGGCCCUGCCUUCCACCAGGUGCUCAAUCACUGCUUCAGACCGUGACUUGACGUCUCUUAUGCAGACAUCAAUAAAAUCUCUGACUUGAUUUUUGGCUGCGUAAGGAACUGUACGUCAGAGUCGUGGUUUUCUUCCAGUUCCUCUCUACUGAGUUCACUGCUUCUUCUUUACUUGUUAUUCAGUGCUUGCUGUCUUCCCAUCAGCAGCCGUCCACCUUCGAAGCGAUUGGUGUCGGAUGUCAUUUCUCAUGGCCGGUUUCCCUGGCUUUCGCUAAUGCAAACUGAUGUACAACAUUUGCACUUUGGAGCGGUUCGAAGCAGUGAUUUCCAUUUUCAUACCCUCGUGCGCUUCGUUCAGUUAUUUCUUCUGCAGUACUUGUUGCCCUCCUCACACUGAAAAAAAAAGUGAAGCAGAACUUCGAUUAGGUCUAUGCAAGUUAUCCUCCAGCCUGUAAAAUAGCCUUCCUGCACCAUAAUCCAUUUUCUUUGCUUCUGAUAGCUACCUGUCUAAACAAGUCCUUGCUGUUUGUAUUAAAGUCCAUGCCCACGUGCCCAAUGCUUUCUGAAAAAUGACUUCCGUUCUCAUUUUGUUUCCUUACAUAAAAGCGCCUAGGAUCCAUUCCUCCAAAGCUAUGCUUUUUCUCCAUGCUACUUACUAACAUAAUGCUCCUCCCGGUCAGCUCAGGAACCUUCCCUGGCACUCUGUGGACGCACGGUUUGCCACUCAGGUUUUUCACAGGGUGCAUAAUCGUGGUGUAAUUCCUGUGUUUCGUGACUCACAGCGCGCUCUAAACUGAAGUAACUCAGCAGGCUUCAAGAGAAGCACGGUUUUAUGGUCAGUCAGGUCUGACUAAACUGUUGCGUGCAUUUCAGAGCAUCCUACAGAAUAUUUGUAUUGUAUUCUAAAGAAUACAAGUAAUAUACCUAUUAGCCUGCCCAGAAACAUUCCUGGGGCAGCUGGGGAGAAAAACAGUGACGUGCCGUUUAGUGGCCUUGAAGCGGGAUGCGCGCAAAGGUCUCCUCUGGGGGGUAUCAAACGCAAGGAUAUAGUAUUGCAUUUAUUGUUGGGCUCAGAUCUCCAUUGGCCUGAGGUUCUUGACUCGCGUAUGUUUGCACGAGCGGGUUUUUCACGAGCCUAUUCCUGCCUGCCCAGAUAUUUUUCCGUGGCACGUCAUAUUCUUUUGUUUUCCCCCGCUCAGAAGUGAAGUCUCUGUCAGCAGGGCUCUUCCUGUCUUUCUCGCCAGCUGCCUUCAAACAGAGAUUUUAACCGAUACUUCAGACGUUCAGGGUGGGUAUUCCCUUUCUCAUCCCUCUGGAAACUCGCCGAAGCCGCCGCUGUUUUAUUUGCCAAUACUGGAGGCCUAUUUUUAUAGCCAGAGCUCAAGGUGUGUCUAAACCAGGCCUUAAAUUUUUGGACCGAUCUUGACAGCUCGUUGUUAAAG
ensembl:lncRNA